rnacentral:rRNA from 1 species
UAGGGAAUCUUCGGCAAUGGACGAAAGUCUGACCGAGCAACGCCGCGUGAGUGAAGAAGGUUUUCGGAUCGUAAAACUCUGUUGUUAGAGAAGAACAAGGACGUUAGUAACUGAACGUCGCCUGACGGUAUCUAACCAGAAAGCCACGGCUAACUACGUGCCAGCAGCCGCGGUAAUACGUAGGUGGCAAGCGUUGUCCGGAUUUAUUGGGCGUAAAGCGGGCGCAGGCGGUUUCUUAAGUCUGAUGUGAAAGCCCCCGGCUCAACCGGGGAGGGUCAUUGGAAACUGGGAGACUUGGGUGCAGAAGAGGAGAGUGGAAUUCCAUGUGUAGCGGUGAAAUGCGUAGAUAUAUGGAGGAACACCAGUGGCGAAGGCGGCUCUCUGGUCUGUAACUGACGCUGAGGCUCGAAAGCGUGGGGAGCAAACAGG